CCUACGGGUGACUGCAGUGGGGCAUAUUGCACAAUGGGGGAAACCCUGAUGCCGCGACGCCGCGUGAGUGAAGAAGUAUUUCGGUACGUAAAGCUCUAUCAGCAGGGAAGAAAAUAACGGUACCUGCCUAAGAAGCCCCGGCUAACUACGUGCCAGCAGCCGCGGUAAUACGUAGGGGGCAAGCGUGAUCCGGAUUUACUGGGUGUAAAGGGAGCGUAGACGGCAGCGCAAGUCUGGAGUGAAAGCCCAUGGCUUAACCAUGGAACUGCAUUGGAAACUGGGCAGCUGGAGUGCAGGAGAGGUAAGCGGAAUUCCUAGGGUAGCGGUGAAAUGCGUAGAUAGUAGGAGGAACACCAGUGGCGAAGGCGGCUUACUGGACGGUAACUGACGUUGAGGCUCGAAAGCGUGGGGAGCAAACAGGAUUAGAUACCCUGGUAGUC
rnacentral:rRNA from 1 species